AUAGUUUGGUAUCAUGAUAAGGAAACCAGGAUCUGAUGAUGGGAUCCCAGAGAAAUCGAGGGAAAAUUUCAAAAAUCGUACGGGUGACUAGUAAAUUUAAUCAUGUUUUCAUUAAGUACUAUAAAACACUACUAUUUAAUAAAGGUCUGGCGUCGAUCUGAUGAUGGAGAAGAAAGAUAGUCGAGGGAACUUUUCAACGAUUUAUAGCAAUUACCUGCUGUGUGGUC
rnacentral:misc_RNA from 1 species